rnacentral:rRNA from 2 species
CAGGACGUCGCAGAGGGUGAGAAUCCCGUAUGUGGCCGAGGCCUGCGCCCGUGUAAAGCUCUUUCGACGAGUCGAGUUGUUUGGGAAUGCAGCUCAAAAUGGGUGGUAAAUUUCAUCUAAAGCUAAAUAUGGGCCAGAGACCGAUAGCGCACAAGUAGAGUGAUCGAAAGAUGAAAAGCACUUUGGAAAGAGAGUUAAACAGUACGUGAAAUUGUUGAAAGGGAAGCGCUUGCAACCAGACUUGGCCGCUGUUGAUCAUCCAAAGUUCUCUCUGGUGCACUCGACAGCGUACAGGCCAGCAUCGGUUCGGGUGGCUGGAGAAAGAUCGGAGGAACGUAGCUCUCCCUCGGGUGAGUGUUAUAGCCUCUGGUGCCAUACAGCCCAACCGGACCGAGGACCGCGCCUUCGGGCUAGGAUGCUGGCGUAAUGGUUGUAAGCGACCCGUCUUGAAACACGGACCAAGGAGUCUAACAUCUAUGCGAGUGUUUGGGCGUUAACCCCAUACGCGGAAUGAAAGUGAACGUAGGUGAGAACCCCUUUGGGGUGCAUCAUCGACCGAUCCUGAUGUCUUCGGAUGGAUUUGAGUACGAGCAUAGC